rnacentral:rRNA from 1 species
UUACGGGAGGCAGCAGUGGGGAAUAUUGCACAAUGGGCGCAAGCCUGAUGCAGCCAUGCCGCGUGUAUGAAGAAGGCCUUCGGGUUGUAAAGUACUUUCAGCGGGGAGGAAGGCGAUGCGGUUAAUAACCGCGUCGAUUGACGUUACCCGCAGAAGAAGCACCGGCUAACUCCGUGCCAGCAGCCGCGGUAAUA